rnacentral:rRNA from 1 species
UACGGGGGGGGGCAAGCGUUUGUUCGGAAUUACUGGGCGUAAAGGCUCGUAGGCGGCCAACUAAGUCAAACGUGAAAUCCCUCAGCUUAACUGGGGAACUGCGUCCGAUACUGGAUGGCUUGGAUUUGGGAGAGGGAUGCGGAAUUCCAGGUGUAGCGGUGAAAUGCGUAGAUAUCUGGAGGAACACCGGUGGCGAAGGCGGCAUCCUGGACCAAUAUUGACGCUGAGGAGCGAAAGCCAGGGGAGCAAAGCGGG